GCUGGUUCUCUCCGAAAUAGCUUUAGGGCUAGCCUCAAGUGAUGAUUAUUGGAGGUAGAGCACUGUUUGGACGAGGGGCCCCUCUCGGGUUACCGAAUUCAGACAAACUCCGAAUGCCAAUUAAUUUAACUUGGGAGUCAGAACAUGGGUGAUAAGGUCCGUGUUCGAAAGGGAAACAGCCCAGACCACCAGCUAAGGUCCCAAAAUAUAUGUUAAGUGGAAAAGGAUGUGGCGUUGCCCAGACAACUAGGAUGUUGGCUUAGAAGCAGCCAUCAUUUAAAGAGUGCGUAAUAGCUCACUAGUCGAGUGACACUGCGCCGAAAAUGUACCGGGGCUAAACAUAUUACCGAAGCUGUGGAUUGUCCUUUGGACAAUGGUAGGAGAGCGUUCUAAGG
rnacentral:rRNA from 1 species